rnacentral:rRNA from 1 species
GGCACGGGCUCAAUUUCCUUGGAACAGGAGGUCAUGGAGGGUGAGAACCCCGUCUAUGGCUCGGACGCCGUCGUCCUUGUGUCAUUUCCUCGAAGAGUCGGGUUGUUUGGGAAUGCAGCUCAAAAUGGGUGGUAAAUUUCAUCUAAGGCUAAAUAUUGGCGAGAGACCGAUAGCAAACAAGUAGAGCGAUCGAAAGAUGAAAGGUACUUUGAAAAGAGAGUGAAACAGUAUGCGAAAUUGUUGAAAGGGAAGCGUUUGGCAUCAGCCCAUGGCCUCUGGCGAUCAUCCAGGCUUCUGCCUGGUGCACUCGUCAGUGGCUGGGCCAGCGUCAGCUUUGCCUGCCGGAGAAAGGCCUCGGGGAUGUGGCUCCCUCUGGGGAGCGUUAUAACCCUUGGCGUAAUGCGGUGCGGCGGGGCUGAGGUCCGCGGUUAACGCCUAGGACGCUGGCGUAAUGGUUCCAAGCGACCCGUCUUGAAACACGGACCAAGGAGUCUAACAUCUAUGCGAGUGUUUGGGUGUCAAG